UGAACCUCAAAUCAGGUAGGACUACCCGCUGAACUUAACCAUAUCAAUAAGCGGAGGAGAGGAAACUAACAAGGAUUCCCCUAGUAACUGCGAGUGAAGCGGGAAAAGCUCAAAUUUAAAAUCUGGUAGCUUCGGUUGCCCGAGUUGUAGUCUGGAGAAGCGUCUUCCGCG
rnacentral:rRNA from 1 species